rnacentral:lncRNA from 1 species
AGAGAGAGAGUAAUAGAGAUGGGUAAUGGAGGGAGAAAGGUGGGAAGCGUGAUCAGAUUUUGUGGGAAGAGCGAGAGAGAGAGGGAGUGAGAGUGAGACAACAUAAGUUAGUUAUAUUAGUUUUGACAGUUGACCGGAUAGGUUAAGUAUCUCCCAAAAUCCAAAACAUACAACACUCUCAUUGUAAGCAACACAGAGCCACACAGAGUGAAACCUUCAAAGCUAUAUAUAUAAGCUUGAAUUAAGUUUUU